rnacentral:rRNA from 1 species
CCUACGGGAGGCAGCAGUGGGGAAUCUUGCGCAAUGGGCGAAAGCCUGACGCAGCAACGCCGCGUGCGGGAUGAAGGCCUUCGGGCUGUAAACCGCUUUCAGCAGGAACGAAAAUGGCGGUACCUGCAGAAGAAGGAGCGGCCAACUACGUGCCAGCAGCCGCGGUGACACGUAGGCUCCAAGCGUUGUCCGGAUUUAUUGGGCGUAAAGAGCUCGUAGGCGGUCUAAUAAGUCGGGUGUGAAAACUCUGGGCUCAACCCGGAGACGCCAUCCGAUACUGUUAUGACUUGAGUUCAGGAGGGGAGCGGGGAAUUCCUAGUGUAGCGGUGAAAUGCGCAGAUAUUAGGAGGAACACCGGUGGCGAAGGCGCCGCUCUGGACUGAAACUGACGCUGAGGAGCGAAAGCAUGGGUAGCAAACAGGAUUAGAUACCCUGGUAGUCCAUGCCGUAAACGGUGGGCACUAGGUGUGGGUUUCAACUAACGAAAUCCGCGCCGUCGCUAACGCAUUAAGUGCCCCGCCGUCGGGUAGGUACGGUCGCGAAGAACGUAAAACCUAACAAAGGAAAGUUAAGUACGGCGUUGAGACGUUGCCGAACGGACGACCGACGAGGGGAGGUUAGG